rnacentral:lncRNA from 1 species
GAAGUUUCUAUACUGAUGACCUCAUAAGAAUAAGUACCAAUGAGGCCAUUAGAAUUGAAACGGUCUUGCAAACUGCAGACUGUAACUAAAUAAGCACAAAAUACUCUGCACUAAAGAGUAUUUUGAUUUAGGUUGUGAAUCCUUCUGUCUUUAGGAACAAACACAACCAUUAUAUACAUAAAUACUUAUACACAUAUAUAUAUAUAUAUAUAUAUACAUAAAUACACACACACACACACACAUAUAUAUAUAUAUAUAUAUAUAUAUAUAAACAUACACAUUUAUGUGCACAUACACACAUAUACAUACAUGUACAGACUAUGUUUUGGCUUUUGUUGUCAAGUUUACAGACAAGGUUAAUUGCAUUUGCAGUGCUGCAUAAACUGUCAUAAUGAUGUUGCUAAACGUAAGAAUAUAGUCAGCUCUCAGAUUCAUAUAAUUUAAAAGAAUUUUUCAAUGCUUUUGUUUUCUGUUGUCAUUAUUAUUAUUAUUAAAAGAAAUCAUUAUUACUAUUAUUAUUAUUAUUAUUAUUAUUAUUAUUAUUAUUAUUAUUAUUGUUAUUAUUAUUAUUACUAUCAUUAUUAAAGAUUUACAUAACUGUCCAUGAAGGUAAAUAGACAAUAAGAAAAGCAUGAUGCAAUUUGUAAUAGACUGUAUAUUUAAUCAUUUGAACAAUAUUUCAACAGAUCAUCUGUCUUCUAUCAAAAUAGAAAUGCUGGACUUCCUUGUUACUAUUAUUAUUAUUAUUAUUAUUAUUAUUAUUAUUAUUAUUAUUAGGUGGGUGAGCUGGCAGAAUCGUUAGCAUGCCGGGCAAAAUGUCUUGUAGUAUUUCGCCCAUAGCUACAUUCUGAGUUCAAAUUCUACCAAGGUCGGCUUUGCCUUUCAUCCUUUCAGAAUUGAUAAAUUAAGUACCAGUAAAUCACUGGGGUUGAUGUAAUCAGCUAGUCCCCUCCCCUCAAAUUUCAGGCCUUGUGCCUAUAGCAGAAAGGAUUAUUAUUAUUAUUGUUAUUUUUUAAAAAUCAUUAUUAUUAUCAUUAUUGGGUAAUUUUUUUUUAGAUUAUUUUGCCCUCUCUUGUUUUUGAUAAAUUAUCCAAAUAUGUUUUUUGUCUUUUUGUUUGAUUUCUUUUUUGAUGUUGUAUUUUGUGUUGUUGUUAUUGUUGUCAGCUUUAUGGGAGGUUUUUUAUUCCAUAUUAUGUUCUGUGUCUUGUUUCAUUCAGUUUUGCUUUUCAUUUUUAGUCUUUUUAAUGUUUCUAAUUGUUUAUAUGUAUGUGUGUGUAUAUAUAUAUAUAUAUAUAUAUAUAUAUAUAUAUAUAUAUAUUCUUCAGGACAAGGGCCUUUGCAUCAGUGAUUUCAAGCAAGGAUUACUAACAACAAUAAGGCAUGUCACCAUAAUAUUUAAGCACAAAUCUACAUGCUUAUAUCUGCACAUAUACAAACAUAUAUAGAUAUAUACAUACAUACACACAUACAUAUAUAUAUAUAUAUGUACUGUAAGACAGAUAGAUAUAUAUAUAUGUACUGUAGAUAGAUAGAUAGAUAGAUAGAUAGAUAGAGAAAAAGAGAGAGAGAUAGACAUGUAAAUAGAGGAAAUGAGAGGGGGAAAAUGCUUAUUACAUUGAGACGGUGUCACAUGUGUAAUAAAGUGAAUUGAACCCAUUCAAUCAACUGAAAUUAUCUAAGCAAUUAAUUUUCAAGUCUAAAAAAAAUAACAAUAAAACUAACAAGCAUGGGAGAUAACUCAAAGAAGAUCAGUUGACUGAAGUUUUUCAGCAAUAUAACAAUUGCUGAGUGGAAUAGAUUUGGUGUCUUUCAAACCAAUUGGGCGUGUCAAACAGUAGGCACAGUUUAAUAAUACUCUUCAACAAAAUAUAAAUAUGUUUUAAUCGGUUGGCAUUAAUGAAAGUGGUUAAUGAAUAUAGACAUAGAAGAAACUGUAUCAUUGUUUUACUGAAGAAAAUCAAAAGAAUUAUGUAUGUGAUUUAAAUAAUGAAGUAUUUACAUGCAAUCUGUUGGAUGUAGAAGUACACAUAUUAUAUGUUAUACUGGUAUUAUACAAGUGCUGUAUAAGGAAUAUAUAAUCAAUAAUAAGCAAAAUACUGUAGUCUAUUAAUACAUUUUAACUUCAGGCUUCAGCUAAUAGAAAUAUAUAUAGAAUGUAUGUAUGUAUGAAUGAAUGAAUGUAUGUAUUAUGUAUGUAUGUAUGUGGGCUUAUGUUGGACAAAUGAGUCAAUACUUGUUGUAGAGGAUAUAGACUUUUUAUUGAAACUAAAACGGCGUGUGUGCCUCACAAAUUGAAGAAUAUAUAUGUAUAUGUAUGUAAUAUAAUAUCCAUAUAUGUAUGUAAUAUGAUAUACAUAUAUAUAUAAAAUAUAUGUAUAUUAUGCCAUAUACAUAUGUAUAUUAUGAUACAUUUGAUAAAUACAUACAUAUAUAUAUAUAUAUAUAUAUAUACACACACAGAAAGAGAAAGUGAGAGAGAGAGAGAGAGAAAGAAAGAGUGAGAGAGAGAGAAACAGGAAAGAAGGAGAAAGAGCAGAAAUGGGAGAAAUAUAUGUGUAAAAGCAUAAUUUUCUGGCAUCACUUAUAUUUCCUGUACGAUUAAUAAUUUUCUAUUCAUUAGCGAUUUACUAAUGAGUUUCUCCUUUAAAUGGAAGGACUAUUAAAAACUGAAAUAGAAUAUAUUUGAAAGCAAAUCUUAAAUGAUUAAAAAUAUAAGAACAAAAUAAACUGCAUAAUAGAUAUCCAUGCAACAGAAAGCACAUUUCUUUUUUGUGUCUGGGCUACUAGACCUACAGCGAAUACUACUACUACUACUACUACUACUAAUAAUAAUAAUAAUAAUAAUAAUAAUAAUAAAAAUAAUAAUAAUUCUUUUAAAUUUUGGCACAUGGCCAGCAACCUUAGAGAAGUGGUUAUAUUAACACUAGUGUUUGACUUGUGAUUAUUUUAUCGACCCUGAAAGGAUAGAAAGGCAAAGUUUACCUCGGUGGCAUUUGAACUCUGAACUUAAAGAACCAGAAGAAACACCAUUGAGCAUUCUAUCAUAUGUGUUAAUGAUUCAGACAGCUUGCCAUAAUAAUACUACUACUACUACUAAUAAUAAUAAUAAUAAUAAUAAAUAAUAGCAAUAAUAAUGAUAAUAAUAAUAAUAAUAACAAUAAUAAUGAUAAUAAUAAUAAUAAUUAGUGUGAUAGAAACUGAGUUUGGAGUCGGUAUGUGUCUUUCUGUAACCAAAUCUGUAGGUAUUCCUGUUUGUGUGUACAUCUGUAUAUCUGACUGUGUGUGUAUAUAUGAAAAGCAGUGUAUGUAGAUGUGUGUAUAAAUCUUUAAUCAUUUACAUAUUUUUAAACUACCAAAGAAUGAAACACGGAAUGACUGUAAAACAAUUUAUUUUCUUUUAAUUAAUAACUUACUCUAUUAAUUUAAUUUUAUUUAUUAAUUAUUUUACUUAUUUAUUCAUUUAUUGUGGAGCUGCAAUGGUUUUCUUGCAUUUCCUUAAUUUAGGGUUUAAAUUCAAAUAAUUAAAUACAAACGUUUGUAUAUGUACAGCCAGGCACACAUAAGCACAGAUGGAAACCCACACAACCAUCUGCACACAUAAACACAUACAUAUAUGCAUAUGUGUGCGUAUAUACAUAAACAUACAGUGUAUUUGUUUCAUAAAUGUUUUUUAAAUAGUGCGCUAUCAAGUUAUUUCCCAUUUACAGAUCUUCCCGAGUUUAGAAAUACUAAUAUUUUGUCUAUGAUUUGAAAGUGUUUCUUUCUCAUUUUUACAAUUUCCUGAAGCCUUCUUGUAAUGCAGCCUCAGUCAUAUUAAAUGUGCAUUUUACUCUGUGCUCUCUCAAUGGACUGGUUGUUUUCAAGGUGUAAAAGCCAUUAUAUAAAAAUUUAAAUUGAGAAUCAGGUAUAAGUUGAUGAUAAAUCCAUACAUAAAUACAUAUACACCUAUCUACCUAUUUCUCUGUCUCUUUCUCUCUCUCAAUACAUAUAUAUAUAUAUAUAUAUACAUACAUAUAUAUAUAUAUAUAUAUAUAUAUAUAUAUAUAUAUAUAUAUAUAUGCAUAUAUAUAUAUAUAUAUAUAUAUAUAUAUAUAUAUAUAUAUAUAUAUAUAUAUAUAUAUAUAUAUAUAUAUAUAAUGUAUGUGUAUGUGUGUAUAUAUAUAUGUGUGUGUUUAUGUAUGUGUUUUGUGCAUGCACAUGAAUACAUAUACAUACAUACAUGUACAUAUAUAUUUAAACUUAUAUUUAUACUUACGUAUGUAUGUAUGUAUGUAUGUAUGUAUGUAUGUAUGUAUGUAUGAAUGUAUGUAUGUAUGUGUGAUUUGAUAAACCUUUUGCCACUGCCUCUUUAAUAGCAACAUUCCUUCUAGAGAUGAACGGCUAUUAUUGAUUGUGGUGAGGGGGUGGAAGCAGUUGUGAUGAUGGUGAUGUUGAUGAUGAUGAUGAUGAUGAUGAUGAUGACGAUGAUAUUGAUGGUUGCAAGACUGAGAUGGAGUGAUUUGAAAAUUAAGGAAGUUUUAUGAUAAUGACAGUGAUGAUGAUUGUAAAUGAUAAUGAUGGCACCAAUGUGUGCCAAAAAUGACAAUGCUUUCAAGAACAUUGACCGGUAGAAAUAUUAAAGUCUCAGACAAGAUACAUGGCCAGUAUUUGGUUGUAUCCCUUGAAUUACUUUUUAGUCCGUUUAACUUAUUCAUCCUUCAGCGGUCAAUAAAAAUACAUAGAUUAUAAAAAUCAUAACAACUAAUGUCAAUGUAAUCGACUAUACCCUAUAGAGAAAAUACAGUGCUCCAGCAUGACCGGAGUUCAGUUAUUGAAAGAACAGUGCUGGAGAUGAUUGUGAGGAUAAAGACACAACUCUGGACAGUAGACAUCGUGAAGAAUACAGCGGUUCUUAGAAUUGUGAUGGAAUUUACAAUACUACUGAUGAAGCUAUGUGUUGAAGAUGGUUUAUAUAAUACAAUAUACCUUGGCAAGGCAAGAAGGCAUAGAAAUAUUUAAGGUUAAUGAAUACUCUCCAAAGAUUUACAAACUGCCCUCUGGUACUUAUUGGUAUUAUUCAGUACUUUGUACAGAUUAGUAGGAGACAGGAAGAUUGUGCUCUUAAUCUUUCCAGAACCUCUGAGACAGGAGAUAUGGGAAAGGAUUAACAGGGUAAAAGAGACCAUGUUUUAUAAGAUGUCCUCAGAUUUGAAACAUAUUCUAAAUACUUAUAACAGAGUGGAUUUCAGUGAAAGUCCUUAAGGACCCAGAGGCCAGAUAGUGAUGGACUUGAUCUAGGUUUUAUCAACCAAGUUGUUCUUUUCAAAGUAAUUCCACAUUAUAGCAGUGGUAUCAACUGAAAAUCAAAUGAUAAACACAUUUCUCUCAUGGUUGUUAGGGUUUUAGGGACUCAAUAACAACAUUUACCUAAUCCCAUUCUUUCUCGUCUUCUCUCAGCUCAGUUCCUAAAAUUUUAUCAUCACUUAAUCAUCAUCAUCAUCAUAGUCAUUAUCUGUAGAAGCAGACGGCUACAGUCCUCCCCAUCUAUUGAAACUUUCAUAAUCAACUGGUAUCCUAUGAUUGGUUAUUUAGCCUUGGUCAACAGCAAUAUUUGAAUCUUUAGACAGUAUUUGAACUCAGAACACACCGAAUUUGGACAGUACCAUAAGGCAUCUUGUCUGAUGCUCACACAACUCUGCCAAAUCACUGUCCUGGACUGGCACUAUAUUUACUGAUUACAAAAGCAUGAAAGGCAGAGUUGACUUAAACAGAAUUUGAAUACAGAGGCAUUGUCCAUUAUUACAAUAUAAUAUUAUUGUUGUUAAGAAAUAAAAUUAUUGCUAUUAUGGAUAGAAGAAAUAGUGCAGCACCCAAGAAAAUGUUGUGAUAUUUACUCUAAUUUCUGAAGUUCUAGUUUCAAAUUUUGCAUGGUUCAACUUUGCCUUUCAUUCCUCCAGAAGAGGGGCUCAAUAAAAUGAAGGACCAGUCAAGCACUGAGACUUAUCAUUGACUGCUCCCUUUACUCAAGUUGAAACCUUGUGGCUAUGAUGAAAUUAUUAUCAUUAUUAUUAGAAAUAAUUAUUUUUUAAUAGUUAAUCUUUAACACACUGUAGGUGUAUCAUGUCAGUGUAUGGGUUUUCUUCCCUGUAGUAACAGGGCAGUGGCAGGGGAAAUAAUUCUAGAGAAAAUGUAGUGUGCUAAAGGGUAAUUGGCUGAUUUGUUAGCACACUGGACAAGACACCUGUGGUACUUUAAUUAUGGUUGUUUACAUCCUGAGUUCACAUCAGGGCAACAUCAACUUUACUUCUUAAUCCUUCCAAGGUUGAUAAUAUAAAAUACCAAUCCAGAACUUGUUGACUUAAUUGGUUAUUUUAGAUCUGUAUUGUUAUUGAUUAUAAUAUCUUUGACUAUUGAAGAGCUUAAUUUAAAUAAUAAUUUAUGUCAAAAUUUGUGAUUUUGUGUCAAUGAUAGAAAUCAUUAAAUACUGUAAGUGUAAAUAGCAGUGCACAUGGCUCAGGGGUUAGAGUGUUAGGCUUAUAAUUGUGAGGUUGUGAAUUCAAUUCCCAGACCAGGCUGUGUGUUGUGUUUUUGAGCAAAACACUUUAUUUCACGUUACUCCAGUCCACUCAGCUGUAGAAAUGAGUUGCAACAUCACUAGUGCCAAGCUGCAUCAGCAUUUGCCUUUGCCUUGGACAACUUUAGUGGCAUGGACAGGGAAGAGUGGUGUGAAUGGGCAAAUGUUGGUCUUCCACAAAACAACCUUUCCCAGACCUGUGCCUCAGAGCGUGACUUUCUAGGUGUAAUCCCACGGUCACUUGUGAUCGAAGGGAGGCUUUACCAAAUACCAAUGCAUUUAGACAUGAUGGUAAUGCAGGCAAUGGCUUUAAAUGGUACUUUUAACAGGGAUGACUGAGAUUUUCUUCUUUAGAGAUGACAACAGCUAAAGAUAGAUCAAUGCCACAGACAGAAUUCAAGUAGUAUCAGUCAAGUUACCUUUAGCAAUCAAUCAUAGUUAACUGCCACCUACAGAUGACAGCAACGGGCUUGUUUUGUGAGAUAUGAUGACAUUUAGGUUUAGGUUAAUUAGUCUACCUUGCAUAUAAUACAGCGGUUCUCUAUCAGUGUUCUUGACAGGUUGCAUGUUUAUUCUCCUAUAUUUUCUGGUGACCAGGCCGGAGCAGAACAAGACCAGCCAGUUGUAUACUUUGUUCUGUUUUGGAAUCUUCAUAACACUGCUCUUCUUAAGAUAUCUUUGUCUCUAACAUCUUAGUACAAAAUUCUUUAUAUUCUUCUCAGACUCUUUUUGUGAAAGGCAUUUUACAGUUUGAUAAAUUUUGCAGUUUUCUUCCAUAUGCAUAUAUUUAAUUAGAAUCAGAUGAUGAAUCAGUGGCAGUUUCCAAAUAAAGAAGUUAAUAUAUACAUCUAUAUAUAUAUAUAUUCAUGUAAGGCUCUGAGCCUGGCUGGGAUUGGACAGAAGAAAUCAAAAGACUUGGUUUUAAUGCUUAAAACAGAGCUGACUCUAUUCUACUAAAACCAGCAUCACAAACACGUGUAUGUGUGUGUAUGUAUGAUGGAGUGUGCACACAAUAACACACAUAUAUAUAAGUAUAGAGAGAGAGAGAGACAGACAGACAGACACAGACAAACAGACUGAACAUAGGAAAAGACAUUAUUUUUUAUAUAUACAAACAGUCGUUCACCACCAUUUGGACGAUGACUUGCACCAUAAUUAGAUAUAGAUAUAAAAAUAUGUUAAAAAUGAGUUACAUACUUUUCAUUAAAGUCCCAUUCAAAAAUUUUACAGUUCUAUAAUAUUAAUGUUUAUACUGUUUGCUCAGUCUAUAAAGCAUUUUAAAAUGCAAUAAAAACUUUGUAUCACCUAUAAUGACAACAAUAAUAAUUAUUAUUUCUAAUAUAGGCACAAGGCCAGCAUUUUCUUGAGGGGAAAUGGUUAAUUAAUUAUAUUGUCCCCAGUACGAGAAUAGUAUCCCAUUUUAUCAACUCCAAUGGAAUGAAAUGCAAAGUUUAUCUCAGCUAGUUUUGAACUCAAAAUGUAUAGGACUUCAAUUAAAUGCAGCAAAAUAUUUUAUCCAAGGCUCUAAUACUUCAGCCAAUCCACAGAGAAAUAAUAGUAAAAUUGAUAAACCAAGAUAUGGGGAAACAGUGUACACUUAAAAAAGAUAUUAAAGAAACAGCUAAAUGUCAAAAGUUUGCUUUUUCCAAAUUUUUCAGUAUUCAUAAUUAGCAGCAUCCAAUUCAUCAACGGAUUGUUUCUUCUUUUGACUUGCAUACACGCACAUGUGUGUAGAUGUAUGUACGUACGUGUGUGUUUGUCAGUGUUUGUGUGUGUGAGAGAGAGAGAGAGAGAGAGAGAGAGAGAGAGAGAGAGAGAGCGUGCGCGUGUGUACGUGUGUGAAUGAAUGGAAUAACAGCUACAAUCAUUAUUACCAUAUGAGACGAAACAAACUAUUAUAUUCCCUCCUUUUUAAUAGCAGUAUCUAUUGUGAAGUUUCUUUUGCAACCUGGUCUCCCAUACAGUUCUGUUGCACUGUCAGGCCAUAUAUUACCGUUACAGUUGUCUCUACUAUCUCAGCCUAUGUUUAUUAACGAACAGCAUGCAUCUGACGCACACAAGUAUAUAAUUAUAACGUUAUCGCUCUAGUGAACUAACAGAAAAAUGCACACACAUACACACAGAAACACGUUCUGAUGAAUCAAAAGAAAAUAUAAACGCUUGUAGAGAAAGCAUAGUAGAAACAAUUACGAUCUAGCCAAGCUUUUGAUUCGUAGAGAACAGGAAAAAAAAUUUUUAAAUCUGCACACAUAUAUGUAUGGAUAUAUGUAAAUUAUGUAGGGGGGCAAGCACCUCUGAGUAGAGAGACACAAACGACUAGUGAUUUAAAAAAUGCGUGAUCCAGUUAAAUUCUUUUGAGAUGCUUUAAUUUUGUCUCCGUGACUGUGUUUGUAGUGGACCGAGUUUCUAUUUCUGGGCUUUUAUUUACAAAUUCCUCCAUACCUGUUUCCUUACAUAUCUCAGGCUUCAUUCUAUAUGAGACCAAUAUAUGUAUGUAUAUGUAUGCAUGCUGUAAGUAUAUACAUAUAUA